UACGGGGGGGGCAAGCGUUGUUCGGAAUUACUGGGCGUAAAGGGCGGGUAGGCGGCCACCGCAAGUCAGUUGUGAAAUCUCUGGGCUUAACCCAGAAAGGUCAACUGAUACUGCGGGGCUAGAGUGCAGAAGGGGCAACUGGAAUUCUCGGUGUAGCGGUGAAAUGCGUAGAUAUCGAGAGGAACACCUGCGGCGAAGGCGGGUUGCUGGGCUGACACUGACGCUGAACUGCGAAAGCUAGGGGAGCGAACGGG
rnacentral:rRNA from 1 species